GGAGUGGUAGUUCAGUUGGUUAGAACGCCUGCCUGUCACGCAGGAGGUCGCGGGUUCGACUCCCGUCCACUCCGCCA
rnacentral:tRNA from 1 species